rnacentral:misc_RNA from 1 species
UCGUGGAGCUCCGGCUCCUUCGAGGGAGAACCCUUGCCUUUUCGAGCACCUGUUUGUUUCCUCGGCAGGCCCGCCUGCCAAUGAGGACCUCUUAAACUCUUGCAAUAAACCUGAACACAAAUUGUCUGAAAUAAAAAAAUCUAAAAUCA